UGGGGAAUUUUGGACAAUGGGGGAAACCCUGAUCUAGCCAUCCCGCGUGUGCGAUGAAGGCCUUCGGGUUGUAAAGCACUUUUGGCAGGAAAGAAACGUCAUGGGUUAAUACCCCGUGAAACUGACGGUACCUGCAGAAUAAGCACCGGCUAACUACGUGCCAGCAGCCGCGGUAAUACGUAGGGUGCAAGCGUUAAUCGGAAUUACUGGGCGUAAAGCGUGCGCAGGCGGUUCGGAAAGAAAGAUGUGAAAUCCCAGAGCUCAACUUUGGAACUGCAUUUUUAACUACCGGGCUAGAGUGUGUCAGAGGGAGGUGGAAUUCCGCGUGUGGCAGUGAAAUGCGUAGAUAUGCGGGGGAACACCGAUGGCGAAGGCAGCCUCCUGGGAUAACACUGACGCUCAUGCACGAAAGCGUGGGGAGCAAACAGG
rnacentral:rRNA from 1 species